CCAGCAUUAUCCAAUUUUAAGAAAUUAAGAGUAAAUAUUAUAAGGGAUAGAGCCAUCUUUGGUGUCAUAGCCUCUAUCCCCACUUUUUGUUUUUAUUUUUUAAAGAAGUUUUAAUUCUCCUAGUUACCUAAUGACCUGUUUGAGAUAGAAGCCUUCAUAUACAUUCCGUGUCCUCCCCAAAACAUAGCCUGUGGGAGUCGGUUGCCUUGAUGCCAGGUGUAGGUCAUGAAUGUUUCUGACUAACACGAACAGAACAUUUGUUUCUAGGGUGGCUUUUCAGCCCAGUCAUAUAUACUAUUUAGAUUUACAAAAUAAACAGCUAGGACUUAUCUGUUUAGUCUUUCUUGCCAGUGGCUAAUUUCAGCUUAGAAAUUUUUUCCUUGACUAGGAGCCAGGUAAUGAUGUAUGUGCUCUAAUAUGUUGAAUAAAAGUGGGCGGAGGAAGCUCAUCAGUGGGGCCACGUGCUGAGUGCUGGUCACUCUUCGGCCCCUGGGCAGGUCUGAGACUGGGGCCUCCCACGGCCCUAACCGGGCUCUCCCUGAGUGGGGAGGUGAGUUCCCAGAGAGCAGGGCUCUAUGCAUGGGCAGACUGGGCAGUAGAAGCCCCAAGUCGGGGUGGAUGCCUCCCUUGCCGGAGCUUGGAACAGACUCACGGCCAGCAGAGCAAGUUUUAACCAUUUAUAUUUUUUAACAUGAAACA
rnacentral:lncRNA from 1 species